AGAGGGGGCAAGCGUUGUUCGGAAUUACUGGGCGUAAAGGGCGCGUAGGCGGCCGCCUAAGUCAGACGUGAAAUCCCUCGGCUCAACCGGGGAACUGCGUCUGAUACUGGGUGGCUUGAAUCCGGGAGAGGGAUGCGGAAUUCCAGGUGUAGCGGUGAAAUGCGUAGAUAUCUGGAGGAACACCGGUGGCGAAGGCGGCAUCCUGGACCGGCAUUGACGCUGAGGCGCGAAAGCCAGGGGAGCAUACGGGAUUAGAUACCCCGGUAGUCCUGGCCCUAAACGAUGAGUGCUUGGUGUGGCGGGUAUCGAUCCCUGCCGUGCCGAAGCUAACGCAUUAAGCACUCCGCCUGGGGAGUACGGUCGCAAGGCUG
rnacentral:rRNA from 1 species